UUUCCGGCCUUCUUGUUGUCAUGUUUCAUUCUAUGUCACUUUUUUACCAGCAGAAUUAUUCUGAUGUUUUCAUGACCUGGUUUAUUUUUCAAUGACUUAAGGGAAACAUUUGGUCAACAUCCAAAACCUCAAGAUUUUAAAACAGCAUAGGUGGAGCAGAGUUCUUUAGCUCAUCUGAAAAUACACGUCAAGAUCCAGAGGAGAGGAAUCAACAGUAGCGGCGAGCCUCCCAGCUGAUUCCCUGAGCCAGAUCCAGAUAUUCAGUGAAAGAGACGAAUUUUCUCUUUUAUGUAAAGGGCCUAGUUUAUUAUCUUUAGUUCACAUGUAAACGCAAAUAUAAAUUGCCUAGUUAUUUUUUUUAAAGUAAACUAAGCAGCAGCCCUUCAAACAAAUGAGGUGUGAAUCCAAGAGAGAGUCUACAUCAAUUUAAUUACAUUUUUAAUCCCCGGGUAGCUGCUUAACAGACUUCUUUGUUUGCUUCCACACUGUCUUUUUUAAAUAAAGGUGGAAUCAACUUUUAAACCAAUAGGCUUGCUUUGGUACUAAUCUUAAAAGUCAUUUGGAAAUACUCGUGCUCUUUGGCUUCCUCCUGCUUCAGCUGUUAUUCUCUCUCUGUGUGCAUUAAGACUCAGAAAUAGAAACACUCAGAACUCAACCACUUGUCUACCAGAGUCCCUUUACUGUGUUCAGUCAUCAAAUACUAAGGCUGUCAAGAAAGAUGCCAAUCUGAGGACCCUUUGAUGGGACCCUGCAUUAUGUUACCUGAAAGUGAGAGGGAGAGAGGCAGAUAUUAGACAGGGUUUAGUGACUCUUGUCUAAUUUCUAUGACCAGACACCCGGUGAAACGAUAUUAGAAAAACUACAGGGGUGUUAAUUCUGGCGGUGGUCUGUAUGGGACUCCCGUCCGAUGACCUGUGAUGUGAAUGGAUGAUGUCUGAGUUUCAAUAACAGUCCAAUAUUGUCCCAAUGUUCUGGCUUGAAUCUAUCUUCUGUGCUAUAAUGAAAUACACCGCUGACAGGAUCAGCUGUGGGGUCGAAAGAUAACCGAGAAUCAAAUCCAAUAAAAGCUCUGAAUUUCACCUGAAACCCACCAACCACUAAAGUUAGAUAAAUUUAGGUCAACUCUCACAGCAAUAGACAAAUUCAAGCUGUGGUAUGACAUAGUCGUCUCCCCUAUAGACCAUAUAUGAGAAGGGGACCCAGGAUAGCCAAGUUGAGCUUUGGCCAACACUUUAUUUCUUUGCCAGUCUCCAGCCUUGAUGGAGUGAGUGAUUUGAAUGUGUUGGCUGCUAUCUUUGCACUUCCCUGUUUAGAAACCAAAAGGUGACAAUACAUACAUUUGUACAUGACAUGAAACACUAUAUUGGCUGUAUUGAUUUAGACAUUUUCAAGUAAAAUAAUUGUAUCUCAGAUUUGAUAGGUUAGUGCCUCCAUGACGACAAUUUUCUUAUCUUGCCUCCUCUGAAUCACAUGAAACUUUACAUUCUUAUUCCUAUCACAAUGAAACCAUGACCUUUUUCACCACUGAAAUUCUUAACAGAUGUAGAAAAUAACAUCCACACCUAUUUUAUACUCAUCUAUUUGUGUAUUUUAACGUCUAGCUUUUGCCCUUUUCCUCUUCUUCAUGACGCCUUACUGCAGCUUGGUUUUGUUUUAGCCAUUCAAAAUUAACUAGAUUUUGGUUUUGACCAGGGAUGUUAACAAUUAUUGAGUAUUAAGUAAUUGAUUGUUAGACCCUUACUGUCAGUUCCUUGUUUUUUGCUACAGGACCUUAGACUGUAUAUAGAAUGGACACCGUCUGCCUCCUAGCUUGGUCAAUCAUAGAAAACAUGAACCCCUAAUAACUUUUAAAAAUGGAACUGUACAGCAAAAAGAGGACUUGAGCACAAAUCAGUCUUACAGUAACUACAUGUCAACAUCAAAAACAGGGGGGAGAAAAAUUUAUAUUCUGUGUAAUAAAUGUUUUAAAGUUUGUCCACAGCUCCAUAGGGAUUGCUGGAGGAGGCGGGGUUUAUGACCUAUACUGCAGCCCCCCACAAGAGGAUGCUGUUCUCGCGGUGGCUUCACCCAGUGAGGAGGCAGACGGCGUCCAUACUAUAUGUUUAUGGAUACAGCCAAUGGGCGUAUUAAGUUUACAUAGCUAACCCAGGGGAUACCCUGUUUGAGCAGGGUGCCAUCACAGCGACUCUUCCACCGAAUGCGUACAACGCUACUGCGCAAGUGGUGGUUCCAGGAAGUGGAGAAAAUCCCACCAAAAUACCGAGAGCAAUUCGGCUUCAAAUUUGUAUAAUGAUGGAAGGAGAAACCAAGUUGUCAGUAGUAUAUAAAGUCUUUGUGCAGGACCUUGUGACCUGGUUGAACCCCUGACUUACACUGACUAUGAAGACAGGUUUAUUUUUCUCAUUGGGAAUGAGUGAAACUGAACACUGUGAGUCCAAAAUAUUUUCUGUUUGGUUGUCUCAUCGCAGCAUUUUCACAUUUAGUCUUUUGAGCCUUGCUUUGUAUGACUGAAUGUCUGCAGAGAUUAUUUCUGCACCUAUAUACGUUUUGUUGCUUUGCUGUACCAUCAGUUACAUCCAUUGCAUUGCUGUGGAAAAUAUAUGAUUUAGGAAAUAAUACAUACUUGGUAUUGAUUUUUUUCACUGGAUAAACCAAAGUUUCUCAGAAUACUCUGAAUUUUUAAUUCUAGUUUUGACUGAUCUAAAUUAAGUAUUUAACACAAACCAUCUAAUGAGAAAUAAGAUCAAAUCAGAGCAGAAAACUGUCUGGAAACAACUCUUUGGUCUUCUCAGCAAAUAUCUGUCUCACCUUAAUGCUAGGCUACUGCUUCUUCCUCUCUUUUGUCAUGGCUAAGGCAAUCUGAUAGUCAUUUUUCAGGGGAGUGUCAUUCAUACGAAUAGGGAAUGCACAAAGGCUUGUCAUUCACCUUGGCUGAGGACAGUGUUUAGGGUUACCGAUAGCCAUAAUCACACCAAUCCACACAAACCCCCCC